rnacentral:rRNA from 1 species
AUGCCCCCGCAACGCUCUCUAGCUGCUGGUGAUCCAACUCGGAAGCUUAGCAGGAUUCAGGGGCGCUUUGCGGUUGAUCUUCUUUUGCUGGUUCAAUCAAGUCAAUCCAUAUAUAAAGCCCCUUUUCUACAACGGGUUUUGUUACCCCCACUUUUGUAUAUGGUCAACAACAUCUCUGCCUGCGACGACACUAUGUCACAGCGGCAGCAGCUUCUUGCAUUCUGGGCGACGUUCCUCCUGCACAAUCUUGGUGGCCCAGACAACAUGAGUGCCUUAUCCCUGGAGGACAGUUCGCUCUAUAGGCGCGAAGCACCACUGGUCCUCUCACGGGUUGGUGGAGCGAUCUAUUUCCUGUACAAGCACUUGCACACCGGUAGCGGCGGCGGUGCUUUGAUCACGGCGUCAAUCAUGGUUUUGGUUGUUGGCGCUACCAAGUAUGCAGAGAGGGCGUGUGCGCUAUGGCAAGCCUUGGACUAUGGCUCACUGAUCAGAAAAGGAAUGGAUGGUAAGCUGGACGAUGAGGAAGCCUUGAUUGUCGCACACGGCAUGCUCCGAUUCUGCAAGCGUGCCAUGGCUGAUUCUUCAGUCUACACAGAGCCACCUGACAAGGGUGCCAUGGUUGAUUCUUCAGCCGACACGGAGUCACCUGACAAUGACUACGACCUUGAUACAAGCAGAAAAAUAUUGGAUAUGAAGUGGGGGAACAUGUGCAGUGUAGUGGAGAUGGAGCUCUCACUCAUGUACGACAUCCUCUACACCAAGGCCAGCAUCAUCCACACCUCAACUGGAGUUGGGUACAUCAUCUGCAUCGCCUCGCCGCUUGCCAUUGUCGCCGCCACUGUGCUCUUUGGGUUCUACUACAACAAAGAAGGCCAAAGCCUACCGGAUGUGAUGAUCACAUAUACCUUGCUGUUAGCAACCCUCCUCCUGGAUACGAGAUGGCUGUUGAGUGCACUUGGGUCGAUCUGGACGCAUGCUUUCCUGCAGGCCAGCAGGCCAUGUCGAUGGCUUCGACAUGCCGUUUUGUGCUCUGGGAGAUGGCUCCAGCUCCGCCAUUUCGUUGUUUCUCUGGAUGUUCGGAGGCUGCGCCUCACGGGUUCUCCAAGGAGUGCAAGCAGCUACAGAAGGUGGUCGGGCACUAUUGGGAAGUACAGCUUGCUGCAAGAGUGCACUCGGAAGAUCAGUGUUUGCGGCAAAGCAGCAAAGGUGAUUGGAUUGGGAGAUAUUUGGAAGGAAUACCAGCACUCCAGAGGAGGACGUAAGCUCUCAGAUGAUGUCAAGGAGGCGGCGUUCACAAGGGUUAGGGAAGUUCUCAGGUUAACAUACGAAAAAUACAAGGAUGGCAUCUACUCCAUGAGGGACAUCACAACAAGCUGGGGUCAGGUGACAAAGGAGAUUUAUACGAAGAAGAAUGUCCUGAAGGCUGAGCAGAAGGAGGUCAUGCUGGGCUUUGGCCGUGAAUUCCAGGAGGACAUCCUUGUGUGGCACAUCGCCACCAAAAUUUUCCUCGUCCAUGCAAAGAAGAAAGGGACCCUUGCCGACGCGAUCGUUGCGCUGUCGGAGCAUCUCAUGUUCCUCAUGGCCGUGAACCCGGACAUGCUACCAGGCCUUGCGCUUCGCAGCCUGUACGAAACAACCCUCAAAUAUUUGCAGGGGGUAUUGGUCAAUGCAAACAUUAGUCCCAGUCGGACAACUGGAGAGGAGAAGCUUGCAAGGAUCCUCUACAAGAACAAAGACGGCCAGUGGGAUUUCGAUGGAAAAAAAAUUCGUGGGCUGCUCAAAGAAGGGGCUAAUAUUGCGAUGGUGCUGCUCAAUGAGGCUGAUAAUUCGAACAUGCAAGAACUGUUGGAGCUCGUCUUCAACAUUUGGGUGGAUAAGCUGUUGUAUGCAGGCACCCGAUGCAACAGGGAAUCCCAUGCCAAGCAGCUCGGCCAUGGCGGUGACCUCACCACCAUCGUAUGGCUUAUGGCAGAGCAUGCUGGGCCGUUCCGGACCGGCGAACUUGGUUCGGAUGUCGGCAGUGAUGAGGGGAAGCCAGAGGAUCGAAAAGAAGGCUGA